ensembl:snoRNA SNORD54 small nucleolar RNA, C/D box 54
UGGCAAUGAGGAGAGAAUUACUGUGUUGAAUUAUGGUGAUAGUUGUAUACGCUAUUCUGAGCCAGCG